rnacentral:misc_RNA from 1 species
GAUGAAGAACGUAGUGAAAUGCGAUAAGUAAUGUGAAUUGCAGAACUCAGUGAAUCAUCGAAUCUUUGAACGCACAUUGCGCCCUCUGGUAUUCCGGGGGGCAUGCCUGUUCGAGCGUCAUUAUAACCACUCAAGCUCUCGCUUGGUAUUGGGGUUCGCGGUUCCGCGGCCCCUAAAAUCAGUGGCGGUGCCUGUCGGCUCUACGCGUAGUAAUACUCCUCGCGAUUGAGUCCGGUAGGUCUACUUGCCAGCAACCCCCAAUUUUUACAGGUUGACCUCGGAUCAGGUAGGGAUACCCGCUGAACUUAAGCAUAUCAAUAAGCGGAGGA